rnacentral:lncRNA from 1 species
UAAUGCCCCAUUUUAAAGGUUAAAAAUGUUUUGAGGACUAUUGUUUAUUGACCACAGGAUGGGUUUCCAGAACAAAGAUCAUCAAAUACAAUGGCUUGAACAAAUGUAAGUUUCUUGUUUCCUCACAUAGCCUGGGUGGUGGUUCACAUUUACUCAGUGGUGUGGAGACCCAGUGAUGAUCCAUUGUAGAUUAUAAUAAUGCACUUUAGUAAAUUCUAACAGGACAUGUGAUCCAAAGAGAUAAGAAGGGUCAAGGGCCUCAGGGAGACCCAGGAUUUCUGUUUAUUUUGCUGCCAUCAGGAUCUUCAGAGAAACAAUCACCUACGUACAGUCUUGGACAACAUCUUGUGGCCUGGCAUACCUCAGCACUCAUCUCUCUGAGCACCAAUAACAUUUUCCUUUUAACACUCAUAAUUUGAAUGAUCACAUGUUAGUGUUUUUGUUUGUUUGUUUUCCUACUGGUGUAUGCUCUGCAAAAUGGGAAGAGGUAGCUUAUUGGGAAAAUCAGGCUUAAAGUUUUAGGAACCUUGUGGUGUGUAUGUAUGUGUAAUGUGAGUGUGUAUGUAUGUAAGCAUAUAUGUGUGUGUGUAUGCAAGCAUUCUGUGUGGUGUGAUUAUGUGUGAAGUGAUUCAUUCAACUAGGCAGAAGGCAGCAGUUAUAUGGGAGGCCUAUUAAACAUAUCAGAGCCUGCUGGAGGAUUGUCAAAGGGUGUCUUUAGUUGGGUGUGAUUUUCUGAACCACGGUUGCCACUGCCCUCUGAGAGUAUCCAUCAUCAACUCAGGGUCCAUCAGGUUGCAUUGGAGGGCUCCCAUUUCCCCCGGAGGCCAUGGGACUUCCCGGCUCUGAAUAGGUAUUACAGAUGGUGCUGCAGGUAAGUGUCAGAUGGGGAAGCAGCAUGAGUCCUUGUCACCUCUCCUUUCCCAGAAGCUACUUCCUCGAGUCUCUCCACACUGCCAGCAGAGGCUCAGGUGCCUGGCUCUCUGCCCUGCUCCUGAAGUUCUCUUUGACAUUGUCACUUAUGCACCCUGCCUUGUGCAGGGUGAUCACUAGUCUCAUUCUGUCUGGGGUUUAAACCUCUUUUCAAAGCAUACUUAUUGAUAGCACUCAAAACCUGUCCCAGUUUAGAUGGAAAAUUGUUUGGGCAAAUUAAAAUAUGGUAUGUUUAAACCUGAAUGUUAAAUGCCUUCUUUCUACACUCUUCAAAGAGCUCCUAUGUAAAGCAUAUUUGGAGAGACAUCAACAGUCUCAACUGAGGGCACAGUAGGAAUAUAUUUGAGGUAUGAAUAUGGGGUCAUCUCCAUAGAGGUGACAACAGUAUUUGAGGUGGUGAAUGGAUGAGAGGAUCUGAUCCAACCUCUUGUUCAGGAAAGAUAAUGAGGAACUCAUGACCCCUACAUUUGUUUUGAACUUGGUAUUUUUCUUACAACAGGUCCGUUUAUUAUAUCAACUGAUGUUCUAACACUACUAUGGGGUAGGCACUACCUGUGAUAUUAUCCCUGCCUUAACUUUGAUUAAAAAAACCCUGAGUAAUGCUAAAUUGCUAAGCACAUUUUAAUAGUCAAAGGCAGAAACCGAAUCCAAAUGCAAAUUCAUCAGACUUAAAUUCAAAUUGUCUCCCACCUGCAGUGCACAAGCAGAAUGUAGCCAAUGAUUCACUUGUUCAGUUUGUUAAUGGUUUGAAAACACUGAUCCAUAUUGCCUGUGUGAUAAUUGAUGUUACCAGUGACAGACUUAAAUGGCUGGGUCCUAUUGAACCAGGUUUGUAUCCAGCUUCUCCCAUUUCCUGGAAUCAUGCAUAGCUCUAUCACUUAGAUUUUGUGUGUAAGGAGAAUCAUCCCUACUUCAGUGGUCUGGUUGUAUUAAGUUAUAUUGUGUAAUGUGCCUUAGGUGUCUUGUGCAGGUGACACCAAACAGAUGAUUUCUUCUUUAAAGUAGGUGUAAAAUGCUUAUGUGUUUAGUACAUCUUUAAAUUUGAGUUGUGAUUUGUAGAAUAGAUAAAAGAAAUGUGAGCAAUUUCACAAUUGUGGGGGGGGGGCAGUGAAGCCCCUCAUAACCUUAGAUAUGCAGUUAAACCAGAAGCUGAAUUUCCAAGAAGAUAAUAAUCCAUGGGUUCCAUCUCUGCUUCUUACAAACACUGAAAAAUCUGAAAUUCUCCACCACUGGAAAGAAAUUUAAUAUUUAAAGGUAAUUUGACCUGUACAUGUGUGUACCAUGAAUAUUUGAUGAAACCUAUAGCAAAAGUAUUUAUAUAGCAUUAAUCUGAGGAUAUUUAUUUCUUAUUCGUUUUCUAGGAUAUUAUUUCUUCAGCAAAUGCAAAAUUGCCCUCCGUAAAAGUGCUCAGCUCUCAAGGUGCGCUUAGAAAUUGUAGAGUAGAAAUAUUCCUUUCCCUAUGACAAAUGUCGACACUACAUAUCCCACCAGAAAGAAGAAACAAUUGUAAAAGGGUAAGAGCAUCCCAAAUUAUGACCCCACGUUCUUGGCAUAGGGCUAGAUCAUCACCCUUUCACAAGUACCACUCUUUAACUCUUCAUUCCAUUUCAUAUAAGUGCUCAGAAAUAUCAACAGAUCAACAGCAGAGUCUGUCUCAAUCCUUUUCCUUUGGUGUCAUUUGUUUCACUUCUUUGUGAUGUUUGAAUUUGCU